UAGGCCUCACCACAGUGAUUCUAGGUCGUCAGCCGUCCGAUCUUGCUACCAGACGUCUCAGAUCGUCGCUCGUCCCACUCCGCUUCGCUAAAACUUCUUACCCGUCCAAUUAUGCAUUCCUCCUCUGGCUCCCCAUUAUCGGGCUUCUACUCCAGAGAUGGAUCUGGAGGUCUUCUCGUGAACUGGGCCGAUUGAUCCUGAAUCUGCUAAUUUGCUUCAUGGGCCACUGCUCCAAUAAGUGGGUUUUAGACCUCCCGUUCACCUUCUUUUCAUGUUAUUACGGCAUCGUUGUCUCCUUCCCUGCAUCUCUUCCUUCGUUUCAGAGCGACGAAUGGUCUGACUGAUAACGACGGAGUAAUGACGAGGAAGGUCAGCGGUCUCCCUUCCGUUACUGUUUCUCGGAGUUGAGGAACUCAGGAAUUGUUGGGUUCACAAGUGCGAAUUGCUCUACUGGGCUGGAUUCUGUGGCAGGAUGUAAGGUGAUGUGUUCGCUUGAUUCCUCUUAUGCGGUUUCUGACAUAGAUUUGUCUCCAAAAUCCAAUUGAUUUCGAUCCGCUUUGCUCUCUUUUUUCUCUCUCAGUAUGUAGGCCUCCUUGAGAAGUUGAUGCAGGCGAAGCGUCAAAUCCAGUCUGCCAUGUCGCCACGAUGAAGGAGGCCGCUAUGUAGACAAGCAUCGGAGAUGUUCGACCUCCGACGCAAUGCCACGCAGAGGGCAAUUGUACAACAUGUGGAAAUUCCUUUAGAACGUUGGAAGAGAUCGACUGUGGGUUAGGAGAGAAUUUUCUGCAGUACAAAGUAAUUAAGAAGGUUCAUCACUUGCGAAACAGAGACAUGUUGUCCCAGAAGAUGACCAACUAAUCCAAUCAAAAUGGUGUAUAAUAUAAACCUCCUUUGAAUAGGUUGUGUUUUUUCCUGUAUUUGCUCUUGUUGUGUGAAAAGUUGGAAGAAACCUUGCUAAUAUUUAAGAUUGUUUGCUUGGUUCACUGAAUUAUGUGCUACCCCUGUAGUGAAGUUAAGUAUUAUUUUACUAAAGUACUAUGAUUGAUGGAUAACAGUGAUAUGGUUAUGGUGCCCAUAGACUUCAUGUACCCGUUUGCAGAAAGUGCAUCCUGCACUGUACCGAAGAUACUAAAGAGGAAACGGCCGGAGACAAGAACUGAGUGCAUGAACAUCAAAGACUAAAGAGGAAACGGUCGGAGAAAACAAUUCAGAUCAUGUAGGUAGUAGGUCUCGAAGGCUGCUUUCUUGUUGCCUUGAGCAAAACUUGCAUGGUCGGAUGCAUCACGAGAGUUGUCGAAGUGUGUUGGUUGAUCGCAAAGUUGGCUUACUUCGUUGCCUAUGUUUCUUAUGUUUAUCGCUGCUAGCUAUUAGAGCUUCUGAAAUGGUAAAUUUGUUUCCUUGCUAAGUACCUCAAGAAUAGAGCUGUAGUGAUAUUUACUCCUUUUAAAAUGGCACAAUGCAUAAACCAUAAGAUGGAAGUUGAACAAUCAAAAUUGUACGUCAGAGCAAAAUUUACAUUUUCUAUGUUAUAAUUUUUUUACUUGUUUCCUCCUGUUUUGGGCUACUCCCUUUGCAGAUUUAAGAACUAACAUAAGUAAUGCUAUUGGUGGUAAUAUUCCUAGAUCUAUGGUGGCUUCCCUAAUUGAUGUAGCCAUUUUGCAGAGAGUGCAUGGUGCGCUGUUCUAAAGAUACUACACGGGGAAAAGUCAACAUCCAGUACCAAACCAAAUCUGGCCAUGAAGAAUUCAGUAGGAAGCAACCCUUUGGUAGAUAACACAACCCUUUGGUGGAUGUCACAGUCAGCAAAUCAAUCCUCUGUUCUUGUUAAGUCCCACACAAUUUGGAGCAAGUGCCAAUUGCAAAAGGGAACAUACUGCAGUAGCAACAGUGCACUUCUUCGUUUUCCCUCCUCAAGUAUAGUUUUGAUUCAUCAAUAUAGUUCCCUAUUGGUUUGUGAUGUGAUUAGUAGCAUGAAUAUUUAACUUGUUAAUAAAUUUGUCCAGUUUCUGAUAAGCUUAAUGUGCACAUGCUGGUGUUCACUUAAAUUAAGAGGACACUCGAUUUGCUACGGCCACUAAAUUCUAAGCAAUACUCUAGGUGUGUUUCUUAUCCUUCUGUUGUGUUGUGCAUAAGGAUAAAUAUCACGAUGCAACCUUUCGGUCCCAAGAAAGACACACAACUCUACAAUUUUAAAAUUUUAGCAUUAGAAUGAUUGUAGUGAAAAUAUUUCUGAAUGAACUCAGGGAAUCAAUGGCUUGGAAAGAUAUUAAGAAGCCAUCUUAGAGAAGACUAAUUGACUACGAAUACACAAAUUUAUUUAUUUUCUAUUCAGGGAAACUAAUCCAGAUGCCAAGACCGUAUUUAGUAUUUUGUGAUUACCCGCUUUCUUCUGAACAAUAGUUAUAUAUUGUCUUGCAUCGCAAGUCAGUGGUUACCUUUUUAGCCUUUUUAAAAGAUUGUUUCCCUUUUAAGAACUGGUGAAAUACUAAAAUUAGUGCACUUCAGCGCAUAUAUAUUUAAGUACUAUAAUCUGUAAUAUUAACUACUUCAGCACGCCCCAGGUAUACUACCCAUGAUUCUACAUAGAGAAGUAGUCUAACCAUUUUUGCAGCUGUCCAGGUGUUAUCUAGGUUUCGCGGGCAACAAUAGGCAGAGGCUUGGGCCGAACUGUUUUCAUGUAGAGGCGAGAUACAGUUUGUGUUGCUGAUGAGUAGCUGUUUGCACCCUCAUUGAGAAUUUAAAGAAUAGAUUUGGGAAGCGGUUAUGGAGCAAUAGCUCUAUUUCAGACCAUUCAUUGAUUGUGUAUGAGCAUAUUCAAAGUCAGCAAGAACAAGCUUCUUAGAGAUAUUUUAUUCAUUAUUAUGUAGUACUACCGUGUUUUCAGGAUGAACUUUGAAUAGACCAUUGUCUUCUUGAAUUGAUAAACAUAUAGCUCUCCUCACUGUAUGCAUCAUUGUCCAUGUAUGCCAGGUCCCAUUAGAGGUAGGAAAAAUAUGCUUGUAAAGGAGUGCUUUGGUAUUUUAUUGAAUGGGAGUACACUUGGGUAGUUUAGA